UGCUAAUACCGCAUAAUAUCUUCUUCCGCAUGGAAGAAGAUUGAAAGACGGCUCUGCUGUCACUUAUAGGAUGACCUUGCGGUGCAUUAGUUAGUUGGUGGGGUAAUGACCUACCAAGACGAUGAUGCAUAGCCGACCUGAGAGGGUGAUCGGCCACAUCGGGACUGAGACACGGCCCAAACUCCUACGGGAGGCAGCAGUAGGGAAUCUUCCGCAAUGGGCGAAAGCCUGACGGAGCAAUGCCGCGUGAGUGAAGAAGGCCUUCGGGUCGUUAAAACUCUGUUAUAAGAGAAGAACAAAUUGUAGAGUUAACUGCUACAGUCUUGACGGUAUCUUAUCAGAAAGCCACGGCUAACUACGUG
rnacentral:rRNA from 1 species